rnacentral:rRNA from 1 species
UACGAAGGGGGCUAGCGUUGCUCGGAAUUACUGGGCGUAAAGGGCGCGUAGGCGGUUGUUUAAGUCAGAGGUGAAAGCCCAGGGCUCAACCUUGGAACUGCCUUUGAUACUGGGCAUCUUGAGUAUGGGAGAGGUGAGUGGAACUCCGAGUGUAGAGGUGAAAUUCGUAGAUAUUCGGAAGAACACCAGUGGCGAAGGCGACUCACUGGCCCAUUACUGACGCUGAGGCGCGAAAGCGUGGGGAGCAAACAGG